UGGGGAAUUUGGACAAUGGGCGCAAGCCUGAUCCAGCCAUGCCGCGUGUGUGAAGAAGGCCUUCGGGUUGUAAAGCACUUUCAGCGAGGAGGAAGGUGGUGAGCUUAAUACGCUCAUCAAUUGACGUUACUCGCAGAAGAAGCACCGGCUAACUCCGUGCCAGCAGCCGCGGUAAUACGGAGGGUGCAAGCGUUAAUCGGAAUUACUGGGCGUAAAGCGCACGCAGGCGGUUUGUUAAGUCAGAUGUGAAAUCCCCGGGCUCAACCUGGGAACUGCAUUUGAAACUGGCAAGCUAGAGUCUCGUAGAGGGGGGUAGAAUUCCAGGUGUAGCGGUGAAAUGCGUAGAGAUCUGGAGGAAUACCGGUGGCGAAGGCGGCCCCCUGGACGAAGACUGACGCUCAGGUGCGAAAGCGUGGGGAGCAAACAGGAUUAGNUACCCUGGUAGUCCACGCUGUAAAACGAUGUCGAUUUUGGAGGUUGUGCCCCUUGAGGCGUGGNUUCCGGAGCUAACGCGUUAAAUCGACCGCC
rnacentral:rRNA from 1 species